rnacentral:rRNA from 1 species
UACGUAGGGUCCGAGCGUUAUCCGGAAUCAUUGGGCGUAAAGAGCUCGUAGGCGGUUCAGCAAGUCGGCUGUGAAAGUCCGAGGCUCAACCUCGGAAUUGCAGUCGAUACUGCUGUGACUCGAGUCCGGUAGAGGAGAAUGGAAUUCCCGGUGUAGCGGUGAAAUGCGCAGAUAUCGGGAGGAACACCAGUAGCGAAGGCGGUUCUCUGGGCCGGCACUGACGCUGAGGAGCGAAAGCGUGGGGAGCAAACAGGAUUAGAUACCCCCGUAGUCC